CAGUUUUCAUAAGGUGACCGGGAAGGAAAUCCGCUCAAUAAAGCAGCGUAAGUCACCCAUGGCGCAGAAGGAGAAGUUCCCAGCGCACUUCUUUGAACAGUGCCAGUGGUCCAGAAAGGGAUUCAUCAGAACUCGAUGGAGUCUUUCCAGCUGUAACUUCGAUCUGGUCAACGUUCACCUCUUCCACGACGCUCACAACGUUGUGGCCUGGAAGGAAAGUCCUUCCUACUACGCCGGGAUCAGGCGGAAGGCCAUGGACUUUGUUCUA